rnacentral:pre_miRNA from 1 species
UAUGUGGCCUAGCCACAUAUUACACGCAUUCUCUAAGAAUGCGUGUAAUAUGUGGCUAGAGAAUGCGUGUAAUAUGUGGCUAGAGAAUGCGU